GCAAGUCGAGCGGCCGUAGCAAUACGGCAGCGGCAGACGGGAGAGUAACACGUGGGAACGCGCCCUUCGGUCUGGAAUAACCCAGGGAAACUUGGGCUAAUACCGGAUACGCCCUUACGGGGAAAGAUUUAUUGCCGAAGGAACGGCCCGCGUCCGAUUAGCUAGUUGGUGAGGUAAUGGCUCACCAAGGCGACGAUCGGUAGCUGGUCUGAGAGGAUGACCAGCCUCACUGGGACUGAGACACGGCCCAGACUCCUACGGGAGGCAGCAGUGGGGAAUAUUGGACAAUGGGCGCAAGCCUGAUCCAGCCAUGCCGCGUGGGUGAUGAAGGCCCUAGGGUUGUAAAGCCCUUUCAGCGGGGAAGAUAAUGACGGUACCCGCGGAAGAAGCCCCGGCUAACUUCGUGGCAGCAGCCCCGGUCAA
rnacentral:rRNA from 1 species